GUUCCCUCAAGAGUUCCCUUGAACACUUCAACGGACACACCCAUACAUGUCCUUUGAGGGACAAAUUUUGUCUGCUGAAGUGUUUGGGGGAACUUUAGAUGGUGC
rfam:Beta vulgaris subsp. vulgaris Bvchr6.sca028.con0171.1, whole genome shotgun sequence.